CAGCCGCCGCGGUAAUACCAGCUCCUCGAGUGGUCGGGGCGAUUAUUGGGCCUAAAGCAUCCGUAGCUUGUUCCGUAGGUUUCCUGCUAAAUCCAACCGCUCAACGGUUGGCCCGCGGGAAAUACCGCGGGACUAGGAGGCGGGAGAGGUGGACGGUACUCCACGUGUAGGGGUAAAAUCCUUUGAUCCGUGGAAGACCACCAGUGGCGAAGGCGGUCCACCAGAACGCGCUCGACGGUGAGGGAUGAAAGCUGGGGGAGCGAACCGGAUUAGAUACCCGGGUAGUCCCAGCCGUAAACGAUGCGAGCUAGAUGAUCCGGUCGCAAAUCGCGAUCGGAGUGUCGCAGGGAAGCCGUUAAGCUCGCCGCCUGGGGAGUACGGUCGCAAGGCUGAAACUUAAAGGAAUUGGCGGGGGAGCACA
rnacentral:rRNA from 1 species